GGGUUGUGAGGUUAAGCGACUAAGCGUACACGGUGGAUGCCCUGGCAGUCAGAGGCGAUGAAGGACGUGCUAAUCUGCGAUAAGCGUCGGUAAGGUGAUAUGAACCGUUAUAACCGGCGAUUUCCGAAUGGGGAAACCCAGUGUGUUUCGACACACUAUCAUUAACUGAAUCCAUAGGUUAAUGAGGCGAACCGGGGGAACUGAAACAUCUAAGUACCCCGAGGAAAAGAAAUCAACCGAGAUUCCCCCAGUAGCGGCGAGCGAACGGGGAGGAGCCCAGAGCCUGAAUCAGUGUGUGUGUUAGUGGAAGCGUCUGGAAAGGCGCGCGAUACAGGGUGACAGCCCCGUACACAAAAAUACACAUAUUGUGAGCUCGAUGAGUAGGGCGGGACACGUGGUAUCCUGUCUGAAUAUGGGGGGGACCAUCCUCCAAGGCUAAAUACUCCUGACUGACCGAUAGUGAACCAGUACCGUGAGGGAAAGGCGAAAAGAACCCCGGCGAGGGGAGUGAAAAAGAACCUGAAACCGUGUACGUACAAGCAGUGGGAGCACGCUUAGGCGUGUGACUGCGUACCUUUUGUAUAAUGGGUCAGCGACUUAUAUUCUGUAGCAAGGUUAACCGAAUAGGGGAGCCGAAGGGAAACCGAGUCUUAACUGGGCGUUAAGUUGCAGGGUAUAGACCCGAAACCCGGUGAUCUAGCCAUGGGCAGGUUGAAGGUUGGGUAACACUAACUGGAGGACCGAACCGACUAAUGUUGAAAAAUUAGCGGAUGACUUGUGGCUGGGGGUGAAAGGCCAAUCAAACCGGGAGAUAGCUGGUUCUCCCCGAAAGCUAUUUAGGUAGCGCCUCGUGAAUUCAUCUCCGGGGGUAGAGCACUGUUUCGGCAAGGGGGUCAUCCCGACUUACCAACCCGAUGCAAACUGCGAAUACCGGAGAAUGUUAUCACGGGAGACACACGGCGGGUGCUAACGUCCGUCGUGAAGAGGGAAACAACCCAGACCGCCAGCUAAGGUCCCAAAGUCAUGGUUAAGUGGGAAACGAUGUGGGAAGGCCCAGACAGCCAGGAUGUUGGCUUAGAAGCAGCCAUCAUUUAAAGAAAGCGUAAUAGCUCACUGGUCGAGUCGGCCUGCGCGGAAGAUGUAACGGGGCUAAACCAUGCACCGAAGCUGCGGCAGCGAUGCUUAUGCGUUGUUGGGUAGGGGAGCGUUCUGUAAGCCUGCGAAGGUGUGCUGUGAGGCAUGCUGGAGGUAUCAGAAGUGCGAAUGCUGACAUAAGUAACGAUAAAGCGGGUGAAAAGCCCGCUCGCCGGAAGACCAAGGGUUCCUGUCCAACGUUAAUCGGGGCAGGGUGAGUCGACCCCUAAGGCGAGGCCGAAAGGCGUAGUCGAUGGGAAACAGGUUAAUAUUCCUGUACUUGGUGUUACUGCGAAGGGGGGGGACGGAGAAGGCUAUGUUGGCCGGGCGACGGUUGUCCCGGUUUAAGCGUGUAGGCUGGUUUUCCAGGCAAAUCCGGAAAAUCAAGGCUGAGGCGUGAUGACGAGGCACUACGGUGCUGAAGCAACAAAUGCCCUGCUUCCAGGAAAAGCCUCUAAGCAUCAGGUAACAUCAAAUCGUACCCCAAACCGACACAGGUGGUCAGGUAGAGAAUACCAAGGCGCUUGAGAGAACUCGGGUGAAGGAACUAGGCAAAAUGGUGCCGUAACUUCGGGAGAAGGCACGCUGAUAUGUAGGUGAAGUCCCUUGCGGAUGGAGCUGAAAUCAGUCGAAGAUACCAGCUGGCUGCAACUGUUUAUUAAAAACACAGCACUGUGCAAACACGAAAGUGGACGUAUACGGUGUGACGCCUGCCCGGUGCCGGAAGGUUAAUUGAUGGGGUCAGCGCAAGCGAAGCUCUUGAUCGAAGCCCCGGUAAACGGCGGCCGUAACUAUAACGGUCCUAAGGUAGCGAAAUUCCUUGUCGGGUAAGUUCCGACCUGCACGAAUGGCGUAAUGAUGGCCAGGCUGUCUCCACCCGAGACUCAGUGAAAUUGAACUCGCUGUGAAGAUGCAGUGUACCCGCGGCAAGACGGAAAGACCCCGUGAACCUUUACUAUAGCUUGACACUGAACAUUGAGCCUUGAUGUGUAGGAUAGGUGGGAGGCUUUGAAGUGUGGACGCCAGUCUGCAUGGAGCCGGCCUUGAAAUACCACCCUUUAAUGUUUGAUGUUCUAACGUGGACCCGUGAUCCGGGUUGCGGACAGUGUCUGGUGGGUAGUUUGACUGGGGCGGUCUCCUCCUAAAGAGUAACGGAGGAGCACGAAGGUUGGCUAAUCCCUGGUCGGACAUCAGGAGGUUAGUGCAAUGGCAUAAGCCAGCUUGACUGCGAGCGUGACGGCGCGAGCAGGUGCGAAAGCAGGUCAUAGUGAUCCGGUGGUUCUGAAUGGAAGGGCCAUCGCUCAACGGAUAAAAGGUACUCCGGGGAUAACAGGCUGAUACCGCCCAAGAGUUCAUAUCGACGGCGGUGUUUGGCACCUCGAUGUCGGCUCAUCACAUCCUGGGGCUGAAGUAGGUCCCAAGGGUAUGGCUGUUCGCCAUUUAAAGUGGUACGCGAGCUGGGUUUAGAACGUCGUGAGACAGUUCGGUCCCUAUCUGCCGUGGGCGCUGGAGAACUGAGGGGGGGCUGCUCCUAGUACGAGAGGACCGGAGUGGACGCAUCACUGGUGUUCGGGUUGUCAUGCCAAUGGCACUGCCCGGUAGCUAAAUGCGGAAGAGAUAAGUGCUGAAAGCAUCUAAGCACGAAACUUGCCCCGAGAUGAGUUCUCCCUGACCCUUUAAGGGUCCUGAAGGAACGUUGAAGACGACGACGUUGAUAGGCCGGGUGUGUAAGCGCAGCGAUGCGUUGAGCUAACCGGUACUAAUGAACCGUGAGGCUUAACCUUACAACGCCGAAGGUGUUU
rnacentral:rRNA from 1 species